rnacentral:rRNA from 1 species
CUCCUACGGGAGGCAGCAGUGAGGAAUAUUGGUCAAUGGGCGCAGGCCUGAACCAGCCAAGUAGCGUGAAGGAUGACUGCCCUAUGGGUUGUAAACUUCUUUUAUAUGGGAAUAAAGUUUUCCACGUGUGGAAUUUUGUAUGUACCAUAUGAAUAAGGAUCGGCUAACUCCGUGCCAGCAGCCGCGGUAAUACGGAGGAUCCGAGCGUUAUCCGGAUUUAUUGGGUUUAAAGGGAGCGUAGGUGGACAGUUAAGUCAGUUGUGAAAGUUUGCGGCUCAACCGUAAAAUUGCAGUUGAUACUGGCUGUCUUGAGUACAGUAGAGGUGGGCGGAAUUCGUGGUGUAGCGGUGAAAUGCUUAGAUAUCACGAAGAACUCCGAUUGCGAAGGCAGCUCACUGGACUGCAACUGACACUGAUGCUCGAAAGUGUGGGUAUCAAACAGGAUUAGAUACCCUGGUAGUCCACACAGUAAACGAUGAAUACUCGCUGUUUGCGAUAUACAGUAAGCGGCCAAGCGAAAGCGUUAAGUAUUCCACCUGGGGAGUACGCCGGCAACGGUGAAACUCAAAGGAAUUGACGGGGGCCCGCACAAGCGGAGGAACAUGUGGUUUAAUUCGAUGAUACGCGAGGAACCUUACCCGGGCUUAAAUUGCAGAUGAAUUACGGUGAAAGCCGUAAGCCGCAAGGCAUCUGUGAAGGUGCUGCAUGGUUGUCGUCAGCUCGUGCCGUGAGGUGUCGGCUUAAGUGCCAUAACGAGCGCAACCCUUGUUGUCAGUUACUAACAGGUUCCGCUGAGGACUCUGACAAGACUGCCAUCGUAAGAUGUGAGGAAGGUGGGGAUGACGUCAAAUCAGCACGGCCCUUACGUCCGGGGCUACACACGUGUUACAAUGGGGGGUACAGAGGGCCGCUACCACGCGAGUGGAUGCCAAUCCCAAAAACCUCUCUCAGUUCGGACUGGAGUCUGCAACCCGACUCCACGAAGCUGGAUUCGCUAGUAAUCGCGCAUCAGCCACGGCGCGGUGAAUACGUUCCCGGGCCUUGUACACACCGC